CUGCCGUUGUCGCCGCCGCCGCCGCCGCUGACGGGGCUGGAUGGGGGGCCGAGGCCAGCCAGGGGCACCCAGAAAGAAGAGACGCGGCGGCGGCGACGCCGACACCCGCACGACAAGCGCCCCGAGGUGCCCGCGAGCUCCACAGGAAGGCGGCGAGGCCCGGGCCCGGCCUCCCCGUGGGUAGAGACGCCGCCGACCCCUCGCCGCGCCAUGUUCAAGAAGCUGAAGCAGAAGAUCAGCGAGGAGCAGCAGCAGCUGCAGCAGGCGCUAGCCCCUGCUCAGGCUUCCUCCAGCUCUUCAACACCAACAAGGACUAGAAGCAGGACAUCUUCAUUUACAGACCAGCUUGA
rnacentral:lncRNA from 1 species